rnacentral:rRNA from 1 species
GACGAACGCUGGCGGCGUGCUUAACACAUGCAAGUCGAACGGAAAGGCCCUGCUUGCAGGGUACUCGAGUGGCGAACGGGUGAGUAACACGUGGGUGAUCUGCCCUGCACUUCGGGAUAAGCUUGGGAAACUGGGUCUAAUACCGGAUAGGAGCCAUCUUUAGUGUGGUGGUUGGAAAGUUUUUUCGGUGUAGGAUGAGCUCGCGGCCUAUCAGCUUGUUGGUGGGGUAAUGGCCUACCAAGGCGGCGACGGGUAGCCGGCCUGAGAGGGUGUACGGCCACAUUGGGACUGAGAUACGGCCCAGACUCCUACGGGAGGCAGCAGUGGGGAAUAUUGCACAAUGGGCGCAAGCCUGAUGCAGCGACGCCGCGUGGGGGAUGAAGGCCUUCGGGUUGUAAACUCCUUUCGCUAGGGACGAAGCUUUGUUGUGACGGUACCGAGAUAAGAAGCACCGGCUAACUACGU